rnacentral:rRNA from 1 species
AUGAACGCUAGCUACAGGCUUAACACAUGCAAGUCGAGGGGCAGCAUGGUCUUAGCUUGCUAAGGCCGAUGGCGACCGGCGCACGGGUGAGUAACACGUAUCCAACCUGCCGUCUACUCUUGGACAGCCUUCUGAAAGGAAGAUUAAUACAAGAUGGCAUCAUGAGUCCACAUGUUCACAUGAUUAAAGGUAUUCCGGUAGACGAUGGGGAUGCGUUCCAUUAGAUAGUAGGCGGGGUAACGGCCCACCUAGUCUUCGAUGGAUAGGGGUUCUGAGAGGAAGGUCCCCCACAUUGGAACUGAGACACGGUCCAAACUCCUACGGGAGGCAGCAGUGAGGAAUAUUGGUCAAUGGGCGAGAGCCUGAACCAGCCAAGUAGCGUGAAGGAUGACUGCCCUAUGGGUUGUAAACUUCUUUUAUAAAGGAAUAAAGUCGGGUAUGGAUACCCGUUUGCAUGUACUUUAUGAAUAAGGAUCGGCUAACUCCGUGCCAGCAGCCGCGGUAAUACGGAGGAUCCGAGCGUUAUCCGGAUUUAUUGGGUUUAAAGGGAGCGUAGAUGGAUGUUUAAGUCAGUUGUGAAAGUUUGCGGCUCAACCGUAAAAUUGCAGUUGAUACUGGAUAUCUUGAGUGCAGUUGAGGCAGGCGGAAUUCGUGGUGUAGCGGUGAAAUGCUUAGAUAUCACGAAGAACUCCGAUUGCGAAGGCAGCCUGCUAGGCUGCAACUGACAUUGAGGCUCGAAAGUGUGGGUAUCAAACAGGAUUAGAUACCCUGGUAGUCCACACGGUAAACGAUGAAUACUCGCUGUUUGCGAUAUACAGCAAGCGGCCAAGCGAAAGCGUUAAGUAUUCCACCUGGGGAGUACGCCGGCAACGGUGAAACUCAAAGGAAUUGACGGGGGCCCGCACAAGCGGAGGAACAUGUGGUUUAAUUCGAUGAUACGCGAGGAACCUUACCCGGGCUUAAAUUGCAGAUGAAUUACGGUGAAAGCCGUAAGCCGCAAGGCAUCUGUGAAGGUGCUGCAUGGUUGUCGUCAGCUCGUGCCGUGAGGUGUCGGCUUAAGUGCCAUAACGAGCGCAACCCUUGUUGUCAGUUACUAACAGGUUCCGCUGAGGACUCUGACAAGACUGCCAUCGUAAGAUGUGAGGAAGGUGGGGAUGACGUCAAAUCAGCACGGCCCUUACGUCCGGGGCUACACACGUGUUACAAUGGGGGGUACAGAGGGCCGCUACCACGCGAGUGGAUGCCAAUCCCAAAAACCUCUCUCAGUUCGGACUGGAGUCUGCAACCCGACUCCACGAAGCUGGAUUCGCUAGUAAUCGCGCAUCAGCCACGGCGCGGUGAAUACGUUCCCGGGCCUUGUACACACCGCCCGUCAAGCCAUGGGAGCCGGGGGUACCUGAAGUGCGUAACCGCGAGGAGCGCCCUAGGGUAAAACUGGUGACUGGGGCU